rnacentral:rRNA from 1 species
UACGAGGGGGGCAAGCGUUGUUCGGAAUUAUUGGGCGUAAAGGGUGCGUAGGCGGUCUGAUAAGUCAUCUGUGAAAAUCUAUGGGCUCAACCCAUAGUCUGCAUCGGAAACUGCCGGGCUUGAGUGUGGGAGAGGUGAGUGGAAUUCCUGGUGUAGCGGUGAAAUGCGUAGAUAUCAUUUGGAACGCCAAUGGUGAAACAGGUAGCUGGGCUGUGCUGACACUGGAGACACGAAAGCCAGGGAGCAAACGGG